rnacentral:misc_RNA from 1 species
UUUGUUUUUUAAUUAAAAACUAGAAUGAAAGGUUAUACAUUCAAAAUUCUUUAUUAAUUUUUAAUAAAUAAUUUAUAUUAAAUAUAAAAAUAUAUUUAUAAAAAAAAAAGACGACAAGACCCUAUUAAAUUUUACUUAUAGUUUAGCUGGGGAAGCUUUUCAAUUAAAAUUUUUUAAAUUUAAUAAAUAAAAAUCCAAUAAAAUUAAAAUUUUAAUAAAUUACUAUAGGGAUAACAGCAUUAUAUUUUUUAAAAGUUCAUAUUAAAAAAAAUGAUUGUGACCUCGAUGUUGAAUUAUAUUUUCUAUAUUUAAUGCAAUAAUUAUAAAAGUAGAUCUGUUCGAUCUUUAAAAUAUUACAUGAUUUGAGUUCAAACCGAUGUAAAUCAGGUUGGUUUUUAUCUUUUUAUAUAUUUUUCUAGUACGAAAGGACAAAAAAAUUUUUAUUUUAAUAAAUUAGCAAAUAAAUGCAUUAGAUUUAGAAUCUAAAUAUAUUUAAUAAUU